rnacentral:rRNA from 1 species
GACGAACCGUCCUAACGUUGUUCGGAUUCACUGGGCUUAAAGGGCGCGUAGGCGGGUGAGCAAGUCCGGGGUGAAAUCUUUCGGCUUAACCGGAAAACUGCCUUGGAUACUGCUCGUCUAGAGGGAGGUAGGGGUCUGCGGAACUUCCGGUGGAGCGGUGAAAUGCGUUGAUAUCUGGAGGAACACCGGUGGCGAAGGCGGCAUCCUGGACCGAGAUUGACGCUGAGGCGCGAAAGCCAGGGGAGCAAACGGG